GUCCAUAGGGUUGCAAAGAGUCAGACACAACUGAAGCGACUUAGCAUGCAUGCACAAUGGCUUACAACAGUAAUUGAAGGGGACCUCAGUGAGGGUCCGGAUCAGGAUGUUGGCCAGAAUUGGGGAAAGAGAGAGGAGCCUGGAAACUCUCUGAAGAGAUACAGAACGGAGCUUAAUGAUGUUGCCACGGCUGAAGAUAACAAAAAAUGAAAUGCUUCCAUUUGCUGCCCAGUGGACAUGCUCAGGGGACACACAUUUUGAGAUUGAUUCUCUGCAGAGCCAAGUAUUUAAUAUGUCAGCUUAGCGGUAAUACCAUCAAGAGCAUCACUUUUGUACCUGCCGUGAUGAAGGCCAGCUCUGGCCUGGGCUCAGACAGUGUGUUUGUGCCUGAACUCCUCAGCCUAGGGAGCAUUCGAGGUCCUAGCUCCCGCCUCAGUCUGGCUUCCUGGCAGUCCCUUGGGGUUGACUCAUCUCAUCUGUUAUGGCUGGAGGGAAGCCUCCUGGGGCUGUUGGCCUGAGCAGAGGGGGCCCAAGACACAGUGGAGCCCUUUCUUGUUCCCCGCAGGCUGGAUGAGAUCCCCAUCGGUGCUUUCUAAUUUCAACCAUGGGGUCCUCUGCUCGUGGUUCAGGAGGGAGGGUCCCAAAGUGAAAUGUGACAAGUAUUUCAUUUUAUGGGACACUUUCUGAAGCCCUUGCUAGAAGAAGAGAUUUCAAAAGACAAAACGAUGAACUACACAUCACAAGUAUUGACCAAGCAAAGCCACAGCCCAGGAACCGCCACAAAGCUCGGGACCUGGCUGGGAGCAUAGAGCAGCCGCUUUCAAAGGAGAUUCUUAGACAGAAAGUCAUAACUUAUUCAUGCUUCAUACACACGCAGGCAUUCAGGUCCCUUAAACACAGUAUGCCACUUCACUUCAAUUAACAGCAAAGUGGUGCCAUUUGCUCACAAAUUCUGCCAGCUUUGGUGUAGACAGAGCUCCUGCAAGGAGGCAGCUAGCCAUCAAGCCCAAAACUCUAGCAACUGAUUUGAAUCCAAGAAAUGCCGGCCUCCUUGGCCAUAGGAAAGACAUUUGGGGCCAUUUCUGUUUUUUUCUUAAUUUGGAAUAAUUUGUUGUGAUCAAAUAGAAAGUCUUAGUAUCUGAGCUCGGAGAAGGCAAUGGCACCCUACUCCAGUACUCUUGCCUGGAAAAUCCCAUGAAUGGAGGAGCCUGGUAGGCGGCAGUUCAUGGGGUCUCUA